rnacentral:rRNA from 1 species
ACGCACGCUGGCGGCGUGCUUAACACCUGCAAGUCGAACGGAAAGGCCCUGCUUUUGUGGGGUGCUCGAGUGGCGAACGGGUGAGUAACACGUGAGUAACCUGCCCUUGACUUUGGGAUAACUUCAGGAAACUGGGGCUAAUACCGGAUAGGAGCUCCUGCUGCAUGGUGGGGGUUGGAAAGUUUCGGCGGUUGGGGAUGGACUCGCGGCUUAUCAGCUUGUUGGUGGGGUAGUGGCUUACCAAGGCUUUGACGGGUAGCCGGCCUGAGAGGGUGACCGGCCACAUUGGGACUGAGAUACGGCCCAGACUCCUACGGGAGGCAGCAGUGGGGAAUAUUGCACAAUGGGCGGAAGCCUGAUGCAGCAACGCCGCGUGCGGGAUGACGGCCUUCGGGUUGUAAACCGCCUUCGCCUGUGACGAAGCGUGAGUGACGGUAAUGGGUAAAGAAGCACCGGCUAACUACGUG